rnacentral:rRNA from 1 species
GAUGAACGCUAGCUACAGGCUUAACACAUGCAAGUCGAGGGGCAGCAUGAUUGAAGCUUGCUUCAAUCGAUGGCGACCGGCGCACGGGUGAGUAACACGUAUCCAACCUGCCGAUAACUCGGGGAUAGCCUUUCGAAAGAAAGAUUAAUACCCGAUAGUAUAGUAUUUCCGCAUGGUUUCACUAUUAAAGAACUUCGGUUAUCGAUGGGGAUGCGUUCCAUUAGAUAGUUGGCGGGGUAACGGCCCACCAAGUCAACGAUGGAUAGGGGUUCUGAGAGGAAGGUCCCCCACAUUGGAACUGAGACACGGUCCAAACUCCUACGGGAGGCAGCAGUGAGGAAUAUUAGUCAAUGGACGAGAGUCUGAACCAGCCAAGUAGCGUGAAGGAUGACUGCCCUAUGGGUUGUAAACUUCUUUUAGACGGGAAUAAAGUGGAGUAUGCAUACUCCUUUGUAUGUACCGUAUGAAUAAGGAUCGGCUAACUCCGUG